AUUGAACGCUGGCGGCAGGCCUAACACAUGCAAGUCGAGCGCGAAAGGCCUUCGGGCUGAGUAGAGCGGCGGACGGGUGAGUAACGCGUAGGAAUCUACCUGGUAGUGGGGGACAACAUGGUGAAAACCAUGCUAAUACCGCAUACGCCCUAUGGGGGAAAGCGGGGGACCUUCGGGCCUCGCGCUAUCAGAUGAGCCUGCGUAGGAUUAGCUUGUUGGUGAGGUAAAGGCUCACCAAGGCGACGAUCCUUAGCUGGUCUGAGAGGAUGAUCAGCCACACUGGAACUGAGACACGGUCCAGACUCCUACGGGAGGCAGCAGCGGGGAAUAUUGCGCAAUGGGCGAAAGCCUGACGCAGCCAUGCCGCGUGUGUGAAGAAGGCCUUCGGGUUGUAAAGCACUUUCAAUUGGGAAGAAAGGUUGCGUGUUAAUAGCACGUAGCUGUGACGUUACCUUUAGAAGAAGCACCGGCUAACUCCGUGCCAGCAGCCGCGGUAAUACGGAGGGUGCGAGCGUUAAUCGGAAUUACUGGGCGUAAAGCGCGCGUAGGCGGUUUGUU
rnacentral:rRNA from 1 species